ACGCUCGACACCUACGGGAGGCAGCAGUGGGGAAUAUUGCACAAUGGGGGAAACCCUGAUGUAGCGACGCCGCGUGGAGGAAGAAGGUCUUCGGAUUGUAAACUCCUGUUGUUGGGGAAAAAGAGGAUGGUACCCAACAAGGAAGUGACGGCUAACUACGUGCCUGCAGCCGCGGUAAUCUGAGCGGGCUGGCAAGGC
rnacentral:rRNA from 1 species